rnacentral:snoRNA from 1 species
ACGACCUUACUUGAACAUGAUCUGUUCUAUAGGUUGUACCUCUGUAUCCUUGAUUUCUAAGGAGACAAGAACCUCAGUCUGGUGGAUGAACCAUGAUCGUGUGAUCAGAGUGUGAUUAACAGCCUUGUGACCCUCGAAUCAUUCAGGCAGUAGAUGAUCGUUCUCAACAAAGGAUAAACUAAUUGCUCUUCAGUGCGAAAGGGUAAAUCAAUUCCCCGACACCCA